rnacentral:rRNA from 1 species
AGCUUUUACAACAACAAUAAAAAAUAUAUAUCACAAUGUAUCAUCAUGAUAUAUAUACAUAAUAUACACAUACAAUGUGGCAGAAGCAGCUCAGGGGAGAGGGAGCGUUGA